GUAGUCCAGUGGUUAAGACACUGUGCUUCCACUGCAGAGGGUGCAGGUUCAAUCCCUGCUACA
rnacentral:tRNA from 1 species